GGACCGCAAAAAAAAUUAAUAAAUAAAAAAAUAAAAAUAAAAUUAUAACUUAACAAAUCACUUAAGGGGCCUCAAAAAAAAUAAUAAUAAUAAUAAAAAAAUCAUUUGAACUGCCAAUCUCCAUUGUCAUAACUCUCGUUCUCAAGAAUCUCAACAGACUCUCAACUCUCAAGCUUACCCGAUUACCCUCUCUCUCUCUCUCUGCUAUGCAAGACUACAGCGGCAACAAUCAAAAGUUUUUUUCCCUCAAAAAUCAAAAGAUCAAAACCCAAAAAAUUGAAAACAUCACAUCAUCAUCGUCUUCACUUGUUCCUCUCUCUCUGUUUCAGAAUCCAGACUUCUAGUUCGCAAAUCGCAGUUCGGAUUUGUAACUUGCAUCGCAUGAUUCGCAUCUGCAUCAAUCCAUCAUCAUCGCUAUGAUCGCCUAAGCACACUCUUCAAAGCAGCCACUUCCAGAGGCCUCAGCUACCAAGUCUUCAUCGCCUCUCUUGCCCUUUGCCUUGUCCUUCUUUUUCCACUGGAAAACUUCGCUUCCUCCAUUCAAUUUCUCUCUCCUUUGGAAAAUCUGCCUCCUUGCCAUUCUUGGGUACUGAUUUUUUAACCAUUUUAUAUAGUCAUUUUGUUUCAUCAAAAACUUACAAUUAUUUAGAUCCAAUAUAUAUAUAUGUACAUGCCGGCUCAAUACAAUAUUUAAUUUUAAUAUGUGUAUAUGCUGAUGUAAUGAGGAUGAGAGAGAGAGAGAGAAAAAAAAAAAAAAAAAAGAAGAUAA